ensembl:snoRNA small nucleolar RNA SNORD72
AAGUCUUGUCAAUGAUGUUUUCAAACACAAAUGUCUGAACAAAUGACUUUCUGUGAUUCUAUGUUAUUUUCUGAGACAAGACAGCCA